rnacentral:lncRNA from 1 species
UCCAUACAACUCCUUUAAAUUGAGGAAUAUGGAUUGAUUAUCCAUGCUUUCAUGCUGUCUUUAUAAUUCAUUACUCAUAAAGGCCAGUAUGAUACAUUUGACAGUCAAGCUAUCUUUCUUCCACAUCUUAUAUGUGGAUAUCUCUUCUUCAAUGGCAUCAUCCCUAACCUCUUGUGGUUCAAAGAUAUCAAGAAUAUAGAAAAGUUUCUCCUGAGUG